ensembl:lncRNA
CCCCACCCCUUCCCCUACCCCUUUAUUGGUGUUUUGUCAUUGUGUUGUCUUGUGUGCCUUGUUCAUCAUGAGUGACAGCUCCAAUGUCGAGCAGCUCGUUAAGGAGCUUGAUGAGCUUGUUGAUCAUUCUAAAUUAAAUGAUGAACUCCAGACCUUGGAAGGUUUCAUCAAUAAGAUGGAGGUAGAACGGGAGGCAGCACUAUCCACCAGCCAUCAACCGGUCCAGGAGGCCCCACCAUCCACCAGCCAUCAACCUGUCAUGUAGCUGAAGAGGGACAGUGAUGGAAAUGUUGUCCAUGACAGACCAAGAUCUUGCCGAAACCAAUUUGCUAGUCACAGCUACAGUCGCAAGACUGGUGCUCAUACUACAAUGUUGGACAGCAGCGUUGAGAGAACCAACUACUGUCCUCCUGACACUGUUGUCUUUCCUUGAAGAGCUAAACCACUCACAGGGUGAUGACAUGGAUGAUCAGGAAACAGCACCAGCACCACCACGAGCUUCCUUAGACGGGUCUACUCGAAGGAGUCUCCUCUCAGAGAGGUGGGCGAAAGAGAGACCCCGGCUGGUGAAUACCAUGGUGGCACAACAAAAUGCGGAAACUGGGAUCUGCCAACAGUGUGGCAGCAGUCAAGCUGCUGUCCGUUGUCGUGACUGCCGACCUCACCCACUCUUAUGUGCUGAGUGUGAUGUCAGUUUACACAGAAACCAGGUGUUCCACAACAGGGAUGCAACAAUAGCUGGAUUCUUUCAGCCAUUGCCUCCAACAACCUGUGUCGUGGAGAGGGUUCUUUCCCAGUGUGGACGAUAUGAUCUCUCUAUGCCUGAGAUGAAAUGCGAGGCAUGCAAAGCCACUUGGAGUGCUGGAGUCGAUGACUUGGUCCGUAAUGACUACUGGCCUGCGACCCUUCACUUCUCCACGGUGUACUCUACCGAUGUGUUUCAUUCAUAUGAAGAGUUGAAGAUGGCAGCACCAGGACUUUCCUGUCAAGCCUUUUUGAGAAUGCUUGAUCAACGAACUGUCAACUUCGGCCGUACUGGGAAGAUCACAGCAGACAGCUUCAGAAAAAGGUUUUUGGAGUGGGAGGCUGUUAGAUUUGAGGUCGACAAGAUAUGCAGAGAGGAGCCAUUUGUCUGUCCUGCAUGCACCCCAGACAUGCUUGCCGUUUCAGUGGACGGAAAUCGCAAGCACUACCGCUUUAAGAAUGCAGCAAGAUCUGAGGAGCAAGCCUUAUUUGAUGGCAUCUUCAUUGCUAAAGAUGAUGAAGUCUCUGGAAGAGGUGUCUGUGGAGGGGAGUAGUCAGCAGCCAGAGAAACAUCUCAGAGAUCCAGGAGUAAAAUUGAUGAGGAGGGACUUCAGCUUGCGGUGUGUUGACAUGUCGUUUUUCUCAGCGCUCUCAACAUGUUCAGGGGAGAAAUCUACGCUUAUCCCCUCUACCUGCAGAACAAGCUGGCAAAUAAGCCAAUAACCUUUUUUGCCAUGGAUGUUACAUGCAAGUACUGGCCCUACCUCAACAAAGUGGCAAAAAGCUGCCCGGAGCUCCAGCACCUUCUUGACAUGAAGCCAUUCCUGUCAGUGUUUCAUGCUAAAGCCCAUGACUUUAAAUGCGAGGUUAAAUGGAGUGGAGCUUACCAGCAAGGGGCUGGAUUGACACUUGGGGAGGAGGUUGAGCAGUGCAACGCCUUCCUCUCUAGGAUUGCUGUGACGACAAAACAUAUGUCCAAAGCAGGUCGUACAGACAUGCUUACACUGAUGGCCAUGCGCUGGAAUCAGCAAAAUUUAAUAACUUGGCUACUUCACUUGCCCGCCGAUAUCAGAAGGCCACAAAAGGGCUGGAAAGCCGGCUUCAGGACCUGGAGGUCAUGAGAGUCCAACUGGCAGUGACACAGGUUGAAGUUGAGGGCUGGGUUACUGAUGUAAAAGAGUGGGCAGAAGCAACAACAUCCCAAAAGAAUGCAGAUCUGGACGCGGUGACUAGUAGAUUGGAGGUGCUGGUGGCCAGCAUUAAAAGAAGGUCCCAGCGCCUUUACAAAGACACCGAUGGCAGCAAAGGUCGGGCCCGGAUUCGGCGCAAAAUCAGAGAGGAGAUGGCCAUUCUUGGCUCUGUUGCUGACAAAUACAACAGCAUGGUUCCAGAUGCAGAGAGAAUCAACUUUGACAGCAUUCUCUCUGAGGGGACAGUUUGGCCGUGGCAACUUUCCCAUGGUGACAAAUGUAGAUUUGAAAACCAAGAGGAAGGCGUUUGACGUUGUGAUGGCAAUAAGGAGACUUGAGGAGGAGAGGAAGAUUGUCAUUGCCGAGAUGGCAAAGCAUUGGAAAUCUCUCUCCACUCGUGCAGACACGCUCAAGGAGAUGUCAUGCCGGUUUUCCAGUGAGCCAUUGCAAAGUGAGCUGUGGGGUCUAAAUGAAGAAGGGAUCAAGGGUCUCCGCAGCUUAACCUUGAAAAAGAAGCAAGCAGUCACAACAAUGAUGAAGCAUGCGAGAGACUGUUACGCUCAAGUUUUGAGAGGAACCAGUAUGGACUUCCAGAGGGACUGGGAUGGAUACGACAGUGACUCUGAAAUGUCAGACGAGUGAACUUGGCUUUCAUCGCUCCUGAUAUCCUGACGCGACUAGAAAAAUUGAUGAACUGCUCAACUUUGCUUCUCGCAUACUUCAUUUUCUUUUUUUAAUUAAAAAAAUUGGAAAUACUGUCUAGGUGGCAUCCACACACAACGUGUACUGUAAACAUGGGGGUUGUCAAUGUCAUCAAUAUUCAGUCUUUAAUCAUCCAGUAUCCAAUAUGAUUGCAGACCUUUUUGUAUCAUGAAUGACACCUUUUAAUGUAUUUAACCAACCCACUGUUUCUCUUCUACAUGUAUGCAAUAUACGAUGAUGUAUCAUGGCUGAAGAGCAAGUAUAAUAUACUUUGGAAGUGAACCAAGCUGCACUGAUUCAUUGCUAUUUGUACUGUUUUUAUUGAUGCUAUUAUGAACUUACACUCCAUAAACAAACUGAAAGCUGCCACACAGACCGACAUCAUUUUUAUCCCUGUCAUGUAUAAGCAUAUCUUUAUGAGUACAUAAUGUUCCCAUGUAUUAUAUCAUGUGCUGAAAUGAAAUAAACAUUGAUAAACAAAA